rnacentral:rRNA from 1 species
UACAGAGGUGUCAAACGUUGUCCGGAAUUACUGGGCGUAAAGGGCGCGUAGGCGGUUCUAUAAGUCAGAUGUGAAAGCACUGGGCUCAACCCAGUAAUUGCAUCUGAUACUGUAGGACUUGAGUUCGGUAGAGGAGGGCGGAAUUCCAGGUGUAGCGGUGAAAUGCGUAGAUAUCUGGAGGAACACCCGUGGCGAAGGCGGCUCUCUGGUCCGAAACUGACGCUGAGGCGCGAAAGCUAGGGUAGCAAACAGG